rnacentral:rRNA from 1 species
AGGCCCUUCGGGGUACUCGAGCGGCGAACGGGUGAGUAACACGUGAGCAACCUACCCUUGGCUUUGGGAUAACCCCGGGAAACCGGGGCUAAUACCGAAUACCCACGCACUGCCGCAUGACGGUGCGUGAAAAGUUUUUCGGCUGGGGAUGGGCUCGCGGCCUAUCAGCUUGUUGGUGAGGUAACGGCCCACCAAGGCUUCGACGGGUAGCCGGCCUGAGAGGGCGACCGGCCACACUGGGACUGAGAUACGGCCCAGACUCCUACGGGAGGCAGCAGUGGGGAAUAUUGCACAAUGGGCGCAAGCCUGAUGCAGCGACGCCGCGUGAGGGAUGAAGGCCUUCGGGUUGUAAACCUCUUUCGACAGGGACGAAGCGAAAGUGACGGUACCUGGAGAAGAAGCGCCGGCCAACUACGUGCCAGCAGCCGCGGUAAGACGUAGGGCGCGAGCGUUGUCCGGAUUUAUUGGGCGUAAAGAGCUCGUAGGCGGCUUGUCGCGUCGACUGUGAAAACCCGCGGCUUAACUGCGGGACUGCAGUCGAUACGGGCAAGCUAGAGUUCGGUAGGGGAGACUGGAAUUCCUGGUGUAGCGGUGAAAUGCGCAGAUAUCAGGAGGAACACCGGUGGCGAAGGCGGGUCUCUGGGCCGACACUGACGCUGAGGAGCGAAAGCGUGGGGAGCGAACAGGAUUAGAUACCCUGGUAGUCCACGCUGUAAACGUUGGGCGCUAGGUGUG